UGGGGAAUUUUGGACAAUGGGCGAAAGCCUGAUCCAGCCAUGCCGCGUGUGUGAAGAAGGCCUUCGGGUUGUAAAGCACUUUAAGCGAGGAGGAAUGGCUCUGGGUUAAUACCCUUGAGCAGUGACGUUACUCGCAGAAUAAGCACCGGCUAACUCUGUGCCAGCAGCCGCGGUAAU
rnacentral:rRNA from 1 species